AAAGUAAUGCUGGCUUCAUAGAAUGAGUCUGGAAGUUUUCCUUCCCUUUCUUUUUUCUUGGAACAGCUUGAGAAGGAUAGGUAUUACCUCUGCUUUAAAGUCUGGUGGAAUUCCCCAGGGAAACAAUCUGGUUGCUUAUUUGGAGACAACAG